rnacentral:lncRNA from 1 species
GCUAGGUCUUCACUGCUCAAAGUAUCACACAUUUGGACGGAAAUUUUUUCAAUGACCCGGUCAAGUUUGACCCUACUAGAUUUGACAACCAGACUUCAAUCCCACCUUAUUGCUUUGUGCCAUUUGGGGGAGGCCCAAGAAUGUGCCCUGGAAACGAGUUUGCAAGGACCGAGACAUUGGUAACCAUGCACUACCUAGUGAGGCAGUUCAGGUGGAAAUUGUGCUGCAAAGAAGAAGGUUACAGGAAAGAUCCUCUUCCGAUGCCUGUUCUUGGACUCCCAAUGGAACUUGAGACCAGAAGCCCCCCUUGAAUAUGCUCAUGCUUAAAAUGAUCCACAUGUUUCUGUCUAUUACCAUGCGUUUCAGUUUAUGUUUUCUCCAGUUUAGUUGAGGUGUCAAGAGUGUUGCAGGUAUGAAGGCUGUGGUAAAGUUAUUCAGAAAUGGAGUGACUUAAGAUCAUUAUGUAGAAAAAUGUGGAAUGGCCUACAAUGUUAGUGUUUAUCAUAAAAACAGAUGCCUAAGGAAUUCCAAUUUUCCCUUUGUUUGUAGUGAGAAAGUGUGACUCUUUCUUCUCCUAUUUUCCAAUCCAUGAAAAAGGAGUUAUUAGAAUUAGAAUCGUCCUUCAAGAUACAUUGUUCUCCACAUCUCCUAUGCCAAAAUCUCUCCUCUUGUUCAUAGAUCCUCCACAUCUCCUCUGCCAAAAUCUCUCCUCUUGUUCAUAGAUCCUCCUCAUCUCCUCUGCCAAAAUCUCUCCUCUUGUUCAUAGAUCUCCAUUUUAUCCUCUAAUAUAAUUUAUAUUCUCUUCCUCCAUUCUUGCUCAAAUAGAUCAUCCUCGUCUGACUUUCCUUUCUAUCAGUUUCCAUCAGUUGCUGCUCAAUCAAUUCUUUUUUCCUCUUCUUUUGUCCACUUUCUUGAACAGACAAGCAUGCUUUUUUUUUUCACAAACAGUAUCCUCACCUCUCUCAAUUUUCUCUUAGUUUUUUUAAGCAUGAAACAAGAAUUAGUCUUCGAUAGAAAAACAUAGUUUAGAGGGAAUUUGUAAACCACACACAAAAACGAGUAAGAUAAAGAUGAUUUGCAUAUAAUUUGUUAUUCUAAUUUUAAAAUAAUAAAAAAUAAUAAUUUUAUUUUAAUUUUUUAAAAGAUAUAUCUUUUAACGGUUUGGAAAAUAUGUCACAGUAAACGAAGUACUCCCCCAAGUAAGCCGGUCCGCAGCCCACGUGAUGUAGAAAUUGGUGUUGGCUGAGAGACAGGACUUCGAUCUGUGGCUCUCCCUUCCCAACCCAUCACUAUUAAAAUCUUGUUUUCUGCGUACGGCCAAAUCUUUAUUAGUGAUUAGAUCAUUUGUGCACCCACGUGACAGACCAAGCACGCAGUUACCUUCAGGGCAAUCACCCUUAUAAUUUGACACUUGACCCCUAUAAUUUUAUCUUUCACCAAUAAAAACUUUUAUGUUUUGGUUAAUGUAAGUACUAUAAUUGUUUAGGAUGCAAAAUGCUUUAAUAAUAUGAUAUAUUUUUAUAAAAUAUUUAAAAAGAAAAGAUGAGGGAGUAUAUAGUUGGUUCCAUGCGUUGUCAAAUGUUUGUAAAUAAUUUCAUUGGUCAAAGUCGUAACUAUUGAAAACAAAGUACACAUACUAUAACUCUUACUCGCUCCGUGGCAAGUCGUUUUAAUUUUUUUUCUAAGUUGAACUCUAUUAAGUUUAACUAAAUUUUUAAAAAUAUUUAUCAACGUCUAAAAUAUCAAAUUGAUUUCAUUAAAUCUAGCUUUGAUAAUAUGUUAGUUUUGUGUUGAAAAUGUUACUAUAUUUUUCUAUAAACUUAAUUAAAUUUAAAAGUUAUAAAGUAAUUUAUAAUAUGAAACGAAGUAACAACUAAUGAUCCUCUUAUAAGGCUACAAUGAUGUUGGGUAGAUUUCUUUCUUGUUUGUGUCAAUCCAAGCUUAGCCACACACACACACAGUCGCACUCGUUCUCCUAGCCACCUACUUGGCCCCUUCCUACUGCUGCGAUGGCGAUCGCCGUCAUCGUCGCGCUCCUCGUCGCCCUCCUGAGUGACGCCGCUGGCCGUGCACCUGGCGGGGAGAGCGAGGAGGGCGUCGCCGCGGCGGUGCAACUUGCCGCCGGGUAUAGAUGGCCCAAGCAUGGCACGACCUGACCACCGGGCCGUGCCUGGCCCCUCCACUGGCACGUUGGGCCGGCCCGGCAUGACCGGGCCGGCAGCCAGGCCCGAUAUAAAAAAAAGGGAGUAAAAAUAGACAUAUAUAUGCCAUGGACGAAAGAAUAAGGAUAUAAAAUAGACUUAUUAUCUAUUCAUAUGUCAGCCCAAAUAGGAGGGACGUAAAAUAUACUUAUUUUAACUAUACAUAUGUCAGCCCAAAGAGGAGAUGGAAAAUAGACUUAUUUUUUAGCUAUACAUAUGUAACAGCCCAAAGAGGAGGGAAAGAAAAUAGACUUAUUUUAAAAAAAGGCCCGAUGGGCCACCUGUGCCUUCGGGCCGGCACAGCACGGCCCGACAGCUGGUGGGCCGUGCCUAGCCAUGCCUGGGCCGGGCCGUACCGGGCGGGCCUUUUAGCCAUCUAUACCGCCGGGAUCCCUCGGCCUGCCGCUGAUCGGGCAGAGCCUGGCCCUGCUGCGCGCCAUGCCGGGCGCAACACCGCCGAGCGAUGGCUGCAGGACAGGAUCGACAGGUACGGCCCCGUGUCGAAGCUGUCGCUGUUCGGCGCGCCGACGGUGCUCCUCGCCGGGCCGGCGGCGAACAAGGUGGUGUUCCUCCACGAGGCGCUGGCGCCCAAGCAGCCACGGAGCCUGGCGACGAUAUCCUCGGGAGGAAGAACAUCCUGGAGCUCGUCAGCGCGCUGAUGCAGUUCCUCAAGCCGGAGAUGCUGCGGCGGUACGUGGGAAAGAUCGACGGCGAGGUGAGGUCAGGCGCCACCUCGCCGACAGGUGGGCCGGCCGCCGCACCGUCACGGUGCUCCCGCUGAUGAAGACGCUGACGUUCGACAUCAUCGCCACCCUGCUGUUCGGGCUCGAGCGCGGCGCCAUCCGGGAGCAGCUCGCCGACGCGUACACCGGCAUGCUGGAGGGCACGCAAUCGGUGCCGGUGGAUCUCAUCUGCCGUUCACCGCGUUCCGCAACGGCCUCAAGGCGAUCGAGCGCGACGGCGCGCCGGCUGCUCGAGGCGACCGUGAGCUGAGGGAGAAGAAGGCCAACCUGGAGGAGCAGGGCAAGUCGUCCCCAACGGACGAUCCCAUCAGCUGCCUCGUGAGCCUCCGAUUGAGACGGCGACGGCGGCCGGCGGCUGCUGACCGAUGGAGGAGGAGAUCGUCGAUAACUCCGUGCUCGAACGCCCUCGUCGCCGGCCACGACACCUCCGCCAUCCUCUUGACCUUCAUGGUCCGCCACCUCGCCAACGACCCAGCCACACUCGCCGCCAUGGUCCAAGGCAAGUAAUAAUCCAACCCCAAGACUAACAUUUCCUUUCGCCAAAAAAAGAUCGAACACCCUAACAACCGCCAUAGCCGGCCACGAUUGAUGGAUGCAGAGCAUGACGAGAUAGCCAAGAGCAAGCAAGAAGGCGAGGCCCUGACACGGGAGGACGUCACGAGGAUGAAGCUGUCGUGGCGCGUCGCGCAGGAGAGCACCCGAGGACAUCGAGGUCGACGGCUACGUCAUCCCGAAAGGGUGGCAGGCGUUCUGGUCGCCAUGCGUGACGCACAUGGACCCGGCCAAGUUCUUGCCGUCCCGGUUCGACGCCCAGGCGGCGUCGGCGGCGCCACCGCCGCCGCUGCCCUAAUCGUUCGUGGCGUUCGGCGGCGGGCCGAGGGUAUGCCCCGGGAUGGAGCUUGCGAGGGUGGAGACGCUGGUGACGACGCACUACCUUGUGAGGCAUUUCAGGUGGCAGCUGUGCUGCGGCCUGCGGGGAGGAGAACACGUUCGUCAGGGACCCGCUGCCGACGCCGCUCAACGGCCUCCCUGUGGAGCUCGACCGCAUUGCCCCUCUCUGGUAGCUACACUUACAGAUGGCCAAACGGGCGGCACGGCCCGACCUACACUGGGCUGUGCCGUGCCAGCCCACAAGCCGCAAACACGGCCCAGGCAUGGCCCAACACGACUCGGGCCGUGCCGGGCCGGCCAGAAGGCACGAUGGUUCACUGUUCUUUUCCACAUAAUAAGUCUAUUUUACGUUGCUCAACUCUGUGGGCUGGGUCCAUAUGGCUAGAAAAUAAGUCUAUUUUGUAUUUCUCUUCUCUUUGGGCCUUGUCUUAUAUGUUAAUUAAGUCUAUUUGACAUCCUCGAUUUUUUUAUUCGGUCAUGCCGUGCCGGGCUAGCCCACCGUGCCAAGUGUGCGGCCCAAGCACGGCCCAGCUACCAGGCCGGGCUGGCACGGGCACGACCCCGAGUCGGGCUGUGCCAUGCUUGGGCCAGGCCAAAAUGACGUGCCUUGGGCUAAGCCACGGGCCUCGGGCCAUAUGGCCAUCUAUAGCUACACUAGUCAGUAGUCACAUACUCCAUCAGUUCCAAAAAAUAAAAGUCAACCUAGGAAAAAAAUGUGAUCCCUCCUAAUACAACGAAUCUGGACAUUUCUUUAUCUCGAUUAUUCAGAUUCGUUGUACUAGGAGGGGUCACAUUCCCUUUUAGGCCUCCUUUGGCAACUUGGGAUCCCGGGGGAUCCCCGCCCAUUCCCCUGGGAGAAAGGCCCGCGGUGAAAAUUUCCACAGGCUUAUUUCCUGUCCAUUUGGAAGCCCACGAGGCAGGGAUUUCCCAGCCCAAUCCGCGGGGAAACCCUAGGGAAGGAAUUUUUCCUCGCGCGAUCCGCCGCCGCUUCUCUCUCGCGCGCGACCAAUGUUGGGCACCGCCGCGCCUCCUCCUCCGGCGAGACGCGCCACCGCCGGGACUCCUCCGGCGAGACACCACCAGCGCUGCCACCGUACCAUGGUAAGCCUUCUUCUCUUUCCCCUCCUCUCCUCCUCCUCCUAGGGUUUCUGCUCUUCUUCUCCUCUAGGGUUUCCCCUUAGAUCUUUGGCUCAGUGGCUCAAUCAAAAUUAACUCCAUUCAAAAUUAAUCACAUAUUUAUGAAUACACAUAUUUUUGUUAGUACCAAGACUGAAUACUCUUUCAAAAUUAACUCCAUUCAAUAGUAUCGACGUGCAAGACUAGUUAAUUAAAACAACUACUACUACUACUAAUUAGUAUUGCUAAGUGCUAACCAUAACUAUCUACACUAAUGACAGUGUUUGUGUGCUUGCUUGGGGGCAUAAAACUAAGAGACAGAGUUAGCUGGAAAUGGCCACGGUCCGUCUGAAGCAUUGCGCAUUAAUUUGCAUCUCAAACUGUAGUAGCAUGAGGCUUUAAUCUGUCUAAUCAGUUUGCGCCUAAACAGCAGCUCAACGGCACUGCAGUUCAGCUGAAAAUGUUGCAAAAGUUUACCUAAUGAGGACUCACAUAGGGGGUAUAUAUAUGAGAUGCACUUCUUUUCCUUGUCAUGUCCAUAAUGAUAAUUGUCCUCUUGCACUCUUCCUCUUGCCAUGAUUCAAUUUGAAUCUCUGGAUUGGCAUAAACAAAGAUUGUCCCACACAGAGCUAUACUCUAGUCUGCAUUUUCUAUACAAGAAGUAUUUGAAUGCUUUUUUUUCUACCAACACUACGGGCUCAUUCGGUUCACUGGAUUUUCAAAACGUAGUAAUAGGAAAAACGUAGGAAUACUAUAGGAAUACAUGUGCAAAUCUAUGGAUUGAAAAACACAGGAAUUUUUCCUAUGUUGUUGAGCAAGCCAACCAAAGGAAUGCAAACAUUAGGUUGGAGUGGAUUAUUUUUUCCUAUGCUUUUCCUUCGAAAAUGGAGGAAUUGAAAAUUUUCCUAUAAUUUUCCUAUGGUGCAUUCCUAUGAAACAAAUGGUAGUUUAGAACAUAUUCCUAUUCCUAUGCUUUUUCUUUGCAAUUCCUUUUAAACGAAUAAGCCUUACAGGUUGCACCCUUACUUGUGUUUUUAAUUCUUGGAUGUAGGCAACAGGCCUUGCCCUUGUAUAUUCAGCCUUGUUCUCAAUUUGGAGCAGCGAUGGAGAUAGUUGAUGCUCAUGAAUGCAGGAGGAAAACACUUCCAAGAUAUUUGUAAAUGAUAAUUGUAUGAAUUACAUCUUGUAUUUGCUGAAAGUGAUAUUUCUUGGAUGCUCAUAUAAUACUUGGCUAAAUACUGUAGAUGGUACCUCAAUUUGAUCAUCUCAUGAACUAAGUUGAUGCUUGUAUCUAUAAUGUUCUCUAUUUUAGCUAGAAUUUAUUGCUCUACUUGGAGUUCAUAUGAUUUUCAGAUUUUUUUUUUCUUGCAUUUUUAACUUAAUUAUUCUAUUUUUGUGCUCGGUUAUGUUUAUUUAGACAUUUUUUAUCUUGUUGGGUGCGCUCCAACUAGCCAUUAUUUGGUAGAGUAGGCUCAAAACUUAAAAACCCUAAUCAUCCCCCAGUCCCGUGAGCUGCUUCCAAAUGGUAGCAGGGAAAUCUCCCUUAGCGGAAAGUGCUUCCCUAGAGAUUUGGGGGGGGAUUCACUUGGUACAGGGAAAAUCCCUGUAUGGGGUUUUUUCCUAGGGGUUUUCUCCCCGUGCAUCCAAAGGAGCCCUUAAAUUGACUUUUUUAAGAACCGAGGGAGUAAAUCUAUACUACAAUAGCUUCGGGUGGGUCUAAUGGGGGGUGUUCGCGCACGUGCAUCCGGGCAUGUAACCCACCACGAAAUGCUAUCCAUGAAAGUUAAUAUAAGUUUAUAAGUACAAACUUUACAUCGAGAAAAACUAUACAAGCUUCGUAAAAAUACUUUAAUAUACAAACAUUUUAUUAGAAACAUUUGAAUAUGAAUCCAAAUCAGAUAUAUAAACUUUUCUUGUGUAUAAACUUUUAAGCCGUGAUCUAUUAACUUAGAAAGUAGUAGAAAAAGAGUCUUUAGGUUGGCUUUCACGGUUUACAAAAUCCCACGUUAAUCGAAAGAAUAGAAAAAAAGAGAUUAGGAGUGGAAACGGGAAAAAAUAUUAGGACAUUGAAACAGACAAAGGUUUUUUGGAAUAUUGUUUCCCUAUUGUAUUCAUUAUACGAGCAAAAAAAAGAAGAAAAUAAUACACCAGAAAUGAACAAUAUAUUUUCGAAUACUGCUUACAAAUCCAUUAUUAUACAUGCAGAUAAGAAAAAAGAAAAGAUACAAAUUAUAUUUGAAAAUCUAGACAUAAAAUUUUGGGUGUUUUCUACCAAAUAUUGAUGUGGGAUCAAAUACAAGAACCAAGUUUACCAGAGGAACACUAAAACCAAAUCUUUUUUCAGAAUUAAAAGAUCACCCUCGAACCUGAUGAAGUUGCUUCGAUCACACCGCCAGAUCAAUGCGAGUCAGUCCUAACCCUAGUCGUUGGUCAGAUCGCCACCGGUUGGACCACCUGUCGGUCUCCUUAUUUGCUUGCUGCCACCACCGUCGCCGAUCUAACCGCUCAUUGUACUUCAGUCGGACCAUCGGGAUCCGGGAAACAUAAAUCAACGAAACUCUUAAAAUUAAAUUAACUUUAUUACAUCGAUGUGUCUAAAGCACUCUUCUCUCAAUUCACGAACAAACUAGAAUCGAAGUCUCGAAGCAAACCCUAACUUUUCUCUCCCAAAAAGUUGAUAUACUUCUAACCUCAACCCCUCUUUUAUUUAUACCCAAAACAUGGCUGACCCUAACCACGAAUUCAACUAUAACUAGAACUCAUAAUCACAUAGGAAACCUACCAAACCAGGAAACAACAUUCCCAUAUAACUCCACACUCCAAACUUACCAAACUUAGACUCUUAUCCAAAUUUGACUCAUCCGUCCAUAAGCAUGUAACACCAUGUGUAUGACAUAUGAAAACUUUCACCUCCACGUGCAUUGUUCUCUAGUCUGAGCAUGUUGUGUGAUCAACUUGACUGUCUGGAUCUCAAAUUCUACCAAGCCUAGUCCCGAACCAUUACCAGCUAAACUCCCAUAACCUCAAGCAACACCUACACAUGAACAACAAAGAAACUUCAUAUCCGAGUAUAAGUUUGCACCAACUUGACUCAAAUCAGCACACAAAACAAUAUCACAUAUGUAUAGAAGCCAUCUAUAAGUCAUAAGCAUGAAGCAAUCUAGAAAAUCCAUGAAAACAACCCGAAACUGAUUCCCUCCUAGAGUUUGUCGGUUUGACCGUCAGGCUACUUGGUCAGACCACCCGGUACUACUACAGAAAGGCUUUUUGCAUGCGGGCGAAGGGCAUCUUUGCAUACGAUUGCCCCAAACGUAAGGGCGAGAAGGUCUGCAAAAAUCAAGCUUUUCACAUGCGGCCGGUGCAACCACAUGCAAAAAUCCCAUUUUCGUAUGCGGUUGCUUAUACCGGCCGCAUGCAAAAAUAAAUUUAGCAAACAAAAAAUAAAAAUAAAAAAAAUCCCAAACCCUAGCCCGCCACCGCGAUCCGUCGUCCCUGCCACCCGCCGUCAUCGCUGGCACUGGAUCCGUCGCCCUCGCCGCCCGCCGUCGUCAGCGGCACCGGAUCGGCCGCCCCCGCCGCCCUUGGCGUCGAAUUCGCGCAGGGCGGGGCCACCCAAGGCAGCAGAGCCGCCCCCGCCGCCGCGGCAGUGAAGAGGGGAGGAGGGGCGGUGAGGAGGGGGGUGUGGCGGUGAGGAGGGGAUGGCAGGCACCGGAUCGGCCGCCCCCGCCGCCCUUGGUGCCGGAUCCGCGCAGGGCGGCGGUGCCCGAGGCAGCAGAGCCACCCCCGCCGCCGCGGCGGUGAGGAGGGGAUGGUGGUAUGGCUUUAGUAGCUUUUCCUUCUUUUGUAAGACUUGUACUUUAUUUAGAAUAUUCUUCUUUUUACUACUUUGGUAUUGUACUAUUUUUCGAGUUUAUGAAUACCAACUUUAUUAUAUGUCCAAGUUAUAUUUAUUAUGAUGCUAGCUUAUCUGGGAGAUGCAAUGGUGUGGGUAUAGUGAUCGUAUUUACGAUGACUCUAUGUCAUGACGAUGACAUUAGAGUAGUAUUUCGUAAUUUAAGCGUGGUGUUUAGAUUACUGGAUAUCAUUAUUUGAGAUUAUAUGUUGCGGAAGCGAGGUGGGUCGCUGAUGGUGACAGCUCAGUACGGGUAUUCUUUCGCGCGUGUAUAUAGUCCUAAGUUAAUUUCCUGGGGAUGGUACUUCUCCAUAUUUAGUCCCGGUUGGAUGGUCAUGACGGAUUGUCGUAAGGAACUCGGCAAUCAUGGGUGGCUUCUCGAAGCACCAGGAGGGCAUCAGAAAGAGGGUAUUAGCUAAGUAAUGAUAUAACUAGGAUGUAUGUAUAAUAUGCCUGUAUACUAGAAGUAUAUGAAUAGAUCUUUCUAUAUUCUUUCCACUUAAUUUAGAUAAUUAUGAAUGAGUGUAUGAAUGUUUCUGCUUAGUGUCACUCUACUCUUGAAUUAUAUUAACCCCUGCUUAGACUUUGAUUGUUGCAAGUAAUAUAUAAAUUAUUAGUACGGUUCUCUCUAUUAUAAUCUUCCCACGAGAUUAAACAAAUACGAUAUCAUUGGAAUACUCUCGGGUGAAAUACUACAAUGGUAUAUCCGUGCGCUUACGGAUGAACUCUGUAACCAUAAUAUACCAGAAGUAUUUCUGCACCAUUGCUGGGAAUUAUAUUUCUAGUAAUGUCAUUAAGAAAUACCAACACUGUCACUGUCAGAGACGGAGCACCCCGACCGUCCUAUCCACGUCUACACCAACAUCAUCUUUGAUCUCUUCCACUUCGACCACACUAUGCCCUCGAGCAGGCCAAGAAGCUUUUAGUCAUAUUCUAUUCUCUUCUCUUCCCCUACCUCUCUUGCAUUCAAUCGUGGGCGCCAUGGAUGAGCUUGGUGAAAUUGGCCACGCAGUGGUAGCGGAGAAGAGGCGGAAGGAAGAGAACAAAUAUAAGGGUCACUGACGGGUAGGACCUACAGGAUGACUCAGCAGGUUAGACCAAGUAAAGCGCCACGUCAACGUAAACAAACCUCCAAAAUUGCUGAGGGAAUCAAAUAACACUGGCCUUAAUUGUUGAGGAUCAAGAUAUCUGGCAUAGCGAUUCAGGAUAUGAAUUAGAUUGAAGUUAUAUUUGAGAGAGUCAAAUUUUGAUAUAGGAAUAUGUCAAAAUGGUUAAUGGUGUGAUUUUGUGAAACUUUAUGACCAUAAUACGCGAGGAUAUGUGUUAUGUGCCAAAAUUCAUGUGUUUUUGUGCCUAGACUAUACUAGAUGGAGUUUUAUAAAAUUUACUUUAAAAACCAUGGUCAAAGUUAAAAAGUUUGAUACUGUAGCAUAUUUAUGAGGAGAGUUAAUUUCCAUCAGUUUUGGACAUAAAACCGGCCUUCUAAGGGCAUGUUUAGUUGGAAAAAAAAUUUGACUCUGCAUAUGACAUCAGAUAUACGGAUACACAUUUAAGUAUUAAAUGUGGUCUAAUAACAAAACAAAUUACAGAUUCCGUCAGGAAACUGUGAGAUGAAUUUAUUAAGCCUAAUUAAUCUGUCGUUAGCAAAUGUUUACUGUAGCACCACAUUAUCAAAUCAUGACGCAAUUAGACUUAAAAGAUUCGUCUCGCAAUUUCAUGGUGAACUGUGUAAUUAGUUUUUUUUAUUUAAUGUUUCAUGCAUGUGCCAAACAUUCGAUGUGACAACGUGAAAAGUUUUGUCUCGUAACUAUAGACAUGCCAUAAGGCCAUCUACAAUCGGUAUCCCCAGGUCGUACCCCUAGCGAUGGCCAUUCGCUUUUCCGUCCGCGCCGUUCCCCCGCGAUAGAACGCGUCCCUCUGCUAGGGGAUGCAGCUCUCUCCGCACCUCGCCAACUUUUCAUGGGGAGUCGCUGCCAGGUGACACAUUGGGGGCUUGGGGCGCUCGUGGAUACGGCUACCACACCUGUGAAUUCCCCUUCUACCCUCGACCUCGUCGCUAGGAAAAGACCGACGGCGGUGGGGAGGAACCCGAGGUGGCGGCGAGAGAGAGAGAGAGGCGCAGGCGAGAGAGAGAGAAGAGAGAGGCGACGGUGACGACGGAUCUGCGGCGGUGCCGCCGUAGCCACCACUUGAGGCGCCCGUGCUCGCCACCGAGGAGCACGAGGACGACGUCGUGGUGGUGGUCGCCGUCGUCGCGACCUCCUCUGCCUUGGCCUCCUCCGCGCGGCAGUAAGAGAGAGGCAAGUAGCGGCGGCGAGAGAAAGAGAGAGGAGAAAGCGGCGGCGGCGGUAGCUGGGGAGGGCGAGGAGGAAGGUGGCGCCAGCGCUCGUGGGAGAGAAAGGGAGAGGGAGGGGGAGGACAGCGACGCCGCCGAGCGAAAGGAGUGAAACCCGGCGGAGAGAGCGAAGAAAAAAAGAAGAGGAGGGGAAUGAGGUGGAGAAAAAAGAGGAGAGAGAGAGGGGGGGAGAAGAGAGGGGUAGUAUAGGAAAACACCCACCGUGGGUUUUUUUUUGGGACACCUAUUGUGGGUUUGAGUACCUUCAUCUAGUAUAGCCCAUACAGGGGUGUCCACCAGUGCGAGCUUAGUUCCCCUACGAGGGUCCUUAGUUAGUGAGGACACUAGUGGCUCACAUUGUGGACGCCCUAAGGCCAUCAGCAAUGGGUGUCCCUAGAGAGUGCCCCUGCUCACACCGUCUAACGUCUGUCACUUUUCCGACCAAAGCCGUCUCCCAGCAGAGGGGCACGACUCCUCUCCGAGGGACGUGUCCCCCCUGCUCCUCAGCCAAAGCCACUGAGCUAGGCCUCGCGUUGGGUGGUGUCGUGUCUUGUGGACACGGCUCCCGCAACAAAAGUUCCCCUUUCACCCUUGGCCGACGGUGGAAAGGAUUCGGAGGCGGAGAGGUGGUGGAGGAGCCAACGAUGGCGUGACGGCGACGACCUGGGACAAAGAAGGGAGUGAAACAGGCGCCAGCCGUCGGUGGAGAGGUGGAGGAGCCGGCGGUGGCGGGACGGCGACACGCUUCCCACCAGAUCCGGUGGCGGCGACGAGGUGGGAGCUCGCGCUUCCCACCAGAUCCGGUGGCGGCGGCGCGGUAGGAACUCGCGCUGCCCACCGAAUCCGGCAGCGGCGGGCGGAGGGAGAGAGAGAGAGGCGGCGACGACUUGAGGAAGAGGAGCUCCGCCGCGUCCUCCUCCUGCUUGUGCUCCUUGCGGUCCUCGCCUUCCACACUGCCGCCGUCGUCGGCUGCCCCGCGUCCCUUCGACACUUGCGCUAUCGUCGGUUGCCCCGCACAUUGAAAGAGAGAGGGAGAGAGAGCGGCGGUAGCUCGCUCGCUGUCGGCCACCCCGCGCUCCGCUCGCCGUCGGCCACCAGCGGCGACGUACAAGAGGGCACACCGGGACGGAGUCGGAGGGGGCGUCGGUGGGGUGAGUGGUGACGAGAAAGAGGAGGAAGUAGUAGCACUGUGCUGUGGCCGAAGAAAAUAUAAAAAAGGGUAGAAGAGGAAAACAACUCCUGUGGAUUUGUGGAUUAGGGCAUGCAUUGUGGGUUGUAGUAUCUUUACACAGUACCCUCAGAUUUUAAGAAUCCAUUUGAGAUUAUCUUCCAUUGGGGGUAGAGUUGCUUUAUGUGUAGCCUUAGGUAGUAUGGCCCACAUGAGACCACUCUUACCCGUGGCUUACAAUGUGGAUGCCCUAAGAGCAAGUUUAAUAGUAUAGCCCACAACUAGCUCCAAUUCAACUAUAACCAAUCUAAUAGUCAACUCAUAUAAUAGUUGCUUACUAUACUAUUAAUAUAUGGUCCCACCUGUCAUACACACAUUGUGUAUUGGAGUCCGUGCUACAGCUAGCUAUAAAUCUGUAAAUCUGUAGCUCACUGCUUUUCUCUCACAUCUUUUAUCUCAUUAAAAUAUAUUUCUAGCUAGCUAAUAGCCUGCUAUUGUCUCAUUAAAAUAUAUUUAUAGUUGGCUAAUAGCAUUAGCCUGCUAUUGUUCCUGCUCUAAGGAGGUUGGGCUGGAAGGCUGGUCAUCCGGGCAUGGGCCUAGGCUGGUCUCCCACAUUCUCCGGCUCGAUCUUCCGCAUUCGGCAGCCGUCAGCUGCGCAGCUUUGCGCGGGGCUCCCCGUCGGCGGCGCGCACCGUCGGCCGGUGGCGGUGCGCCAGUGGGCAAGCUUCCCCUCCUGCAUCCUACUUGCAAGACGCCCCCCAACAAGCAGGCAGCGCGCUAAGAGGUUUGGUCACUAGCUCUUAGGUGUCCUGGGAUUCUUGAUUUCUAGCUUUGCAAUUGAUUGGUGAGAUGUUGUUCGAUUUGUUGAUGGGGGGCUGAACGAGCUGUGAAUCUGUGAUGGCACAGAUGGAAUUUGGGUGGGUUUCAGUCAGGUCUGGUGGUGUGGAUUAGUGUAAAAUGAUCACUGCCUAAAGUCGGUAUAGGAGAAUAAUGAUCUCCUGGCCUGAUUAUUGCCGAUUUCGAUCGGUGGACAAACUAUAUUAUUAAAUCAAAUCUGCAUUCGUGAUGUGAUCUCCAAAUCUAUAUUGGAUAGAGUCUAUCCCUUCGAAGUCUAUCUGUCUGUAUACAUUUUUUUUGUUCUUGGAAGUUGACCAUAGUGGAUUUUCAGAAUAUGUUAUCCGACCUGUCGUUUUCCUUUCCCUUUUUGCCCAGUUUUUUAGGAUCUAAGUUGCCCUCGAGGUCAUUGUCGUGUAUAUCCUGAUAAUGCAUUGAUUUUGCCAACGUUAUUAAAUAAACGGCCAUGCUAUAUUUGGGAGGAAUCAUCUGCUUAUUUCUUAAGUACUGUUCUGUAAUCUAUAUUGCAGGGCCAUGCCAUUUUCAGAAGAAUUGCGGCUACAGUAAAUGUGUCAUUUUGUGCACAGGCACAUAUAUAGAACUGGAGUUAACCUUUUCUGACCACUAAGUAUGUAAUUUGCUUCUAAUUUUUGAAAUGUCUACCUGUUUUUCUUGGCAGAUAUUCUGCAUAAUAAUAUGCCAAAAAAAAAGGAUGUUUCCUGCAUACAUGGCCUGUGCCAAGGCUAAAACUAUACUUGUCGAUUGAGAGUCCUGCAGUUAUGCAGAAGAAUUAAAUCUAGAAUAUUGUUCAAAAUUUCUUAUUACAUAGGAUAGGACAUGGAUCGUUUCGUUAGGGAUGACCAAAUUGUUGUAACCAGAUCUUUUCAAUGGUUUGCUUUGCUUGCUUUGCAAAAUUUAAUUCUGUUGUAUGUAGCAUCUUUCCUCGAGCUAAUAUUAGAUCCAAAGGAAUCAGUUCUUCUCAUUAUUUGCUUGUCUAUGUACUUCCCUUUUUAGUUUUUUUAGGGAAUUCGUUUUUGUGUCUUUCAUUUGAGGAGGAAAUGCAAUUAUUUGACUAGCAUAAAUCCAGAAAUUCUAUUGGCUAGCAUAAAUGUGAUUCUUUGAGCUGGCUUCCAUUUAUUUCCAGUAAUUCACCUAUGUCGUGCUAAGCUGCUCCUAUCAUGUGGGGUGAUAGAAUUGUUUACUUAUAAACUAAUAUUGUAAGUUAUCAUGAAUCAGACUCAUUACUCUGGUGACAAUGAGGGGUUGUUCCCUUAUCUCAAUUUGUAAUCUUUGCUUGUUUGUUGUAUGACUUUUGAGAAAGUGAUAUAUUCAGCUUUGCCAACUAGGCCAUUUAUUGAGUUCUAAAGAAAAUAUCAAAUUUGUUCAAUCAUACUCCCUUGUCUAUCAUGCAGAAAGAAAACAACUCUGGUUUGCCUAUAUACAUACAUGUAGACAAAUCCACAAGCUGAUCAGCCAACCUUCAUAGUGCAUAACAACAUACUCCAUCAAUGGAUUCCUCCAUGCCUUUUGCUCUGCUGCUUGCCUUGCUCAUACCCACCCUCCUCCGCUUUGUCAUCAGGCGCAAGUACUCAUCCUAUAAUCUCCCUCCAGGUUCUCUUGGCUUCCCAUUGAUUGGCCAGAGCAUCUCCCUUCUUCGUGCCCUCCGCAGUAAUACUGAUUACCAGUGGUACCAGGACAGGAUCAAGAAGUAUGGUCCUGUGUUCAAGAUGUCACUUUUUGGCUCACCAACAGUGCUUAUGGCUGGCCCGGCGGCCAAUCACUUUGUAUUCAGCAACCAGGACCUCAUUUUCACCCAGACAAAGGCGAUCAACACCAUCCUUGGGCGGUCCAUUCUGACACUCUCAGGUGAGGAGCUAAAGCGAGUCCGCAGUGCUCUACAGGGCUAUCUGAGGCUAGAGAUGGUGACGAAGUAUAUGCGUAAGAUGGAUGAGGAGGUCAGGAGGCACAUUGACCUGAACUGGGUUGGUCAUAAAACUGUCAAGGUAUGAACAUUGUGUUACUGUUGUUUGAAUUGUUAGACCUUUAUGUAUAGUAAAAACAACUUUUUGUAGUAUGGACAUGUUUGUGAGCUACUUUGGUGAUUAUAGGCUGCACCCUUGGCGAAGAGGCUCACCUUUGACAUCAUCUGCUCAGUCGUCUUUGGACAAGGGAUAGGUCCCAUCAGAGAAGCCCUUGCCACCGACUUUGAGACACUUGUGCAGGCUUUGCUAUCUCUGCCAGUGAAUAUACCCUUCACCAAGUUCAUCAAGGGCCUGAGAGCGAGCCGGAGGAUCAGGAAGGUCCUCAGGCAAAUUGCUCGCGAAAGGGAAGCAGCAUUGCAGCAAGGCCAUUCCAGUUCAGCUGAUGAUUUCUUCACAUACAUGCUUGUUUUGCGCUCUGAAGGCACACACUCGCUCACAGUGGAGGACAUUGUGGACAAUGCAAUCGUACUCCUGACUGCCGGUUAUGGGAAUUCGGCUGUUCUUAUCACCUUCUUGCUCCGGUACCUAGCUAAUGAUCCAGACAUCCUUGGCAAGAUAACCGAGGGUGAGCACCUAGUACUCUAUAUUGUAUCGUGUGCCUAUAUUUUGGUGUUUUAAUCUUCUGAGUAGCACGGUAUCAUUUGCACCUAUCAUGAACCACAGAACAAGAGGAGAUAGCUAGGAGGAAAGGGCCUAAUGAACCUUUAACCUGGGAUGAUGUCUCAAGGAUGAAGUACACAUGGAAGGUGGCAUUGGAGACGCUGCGGACUGUUCCCCCAAUAUUUGGAAGCUUCCGAACAGCUGUCAAAGACAUCGAAUACCAUGGCUAUCACAUUCCGAAAGGCUGGCAAGUAAGUAUUUUUAUAUUAACCAAUUUAUUUUUCGAUUGGAUAUCUUUUCCAUUCCAAUUAUGCCGUUAGUGUCGCAGUGAUGUUUCGAUCUGAACAAUGUACCCAACUCCUAAAUUUCUUUUUAUUACUCUCACAUACAUCUUGCGAUGCUAGGUCUUCACUGCUCAACGUAUCACACAUUUGGAUGGAAAUUUUUUCAAUGACCCGGUCAAGUUUGACCCUACUAGAUUUGACAACCACACUUCAAUCCCACCUUAUUGCUUCGUGCCAUUUGGGGGAGGCCCAAGAAUGUGCCCUGGAAACGAGUUUGCGAGGACCGAGAUAUUGGUAACCAUGCACUAACUAGUGAGGCAGUUCAGGUGGAAAUUGUGCUGCGAAGAAGAAGGUUACAGGAAAGAUC